CUGUGCCCAGCCACGCGUUGCUGUUAUGAUUGAGCCUCAUGGCUCUGUUACUGACAGACGUGGGCGUAAGACUCCUCGAGAGUCAGAUACUCUCGAGGAGCGAGAGAGAAAAAGACUGCGAGACAUAUUUGCAGCACCAUCUGACGAAGAGUCUUUCGAGGGGUUUACGGAGAGAAUGGAGGAGGGGCUGGUUAGCUCAGAGGAGGAUGAGAUGGAUUGGACUCGGGUAAGGGAGGAAUUGGGUGCCACUGGCCAUGAUGGGAUAGAAGAUGAAUGGGGACCUUCAGGAUUAGACCCAUGGCUUAGCUGGAGGGAUGGGACGGGAUCCACAGCUGGAGAUGCUGUUGGGCGUAGUCAGAGGUGUUCCAGCUCUGACGAGGAAAGUGAUGAGGAAACGCCCGGGUUAAGGAGGACAGCUGACAGUGAUGAGGAUUUGUAACUGGCAUAAAAUGGGGCUUGGGAGCAAUUGCAAAUUGCGUUGGGCAAGGUAAUCUGGACAAACGCUUGGGAUCUGUGUGUGUGGGACGCUUUCCUGAAGACUGGUGUGUUUUCCUGUGCUGAGACCUUGACCUUCCGUCGUCUUCUUGACGGACGCCAUCUCCUGCUUUGAAAACUCGGACUGAACUGACCACGGCUUGUCUUCCCCCCUUCUUGGACUUGGAAAACUACAAACGUCUGCUUCUGGCUUUGAUCUACGGAACGGAACUGGUCUACUCUACUGCUACAAUCCUUGGCUGAUCUGCUCGUGUUGGAAAUCCUGUCUGCUGUGUGUGUGUGGGAGCGACGCAAGUUACUCUAAGCACAGUGUUGGCAGCAGAGAGGAAUCUGCUGCCAAUUAGUUGCAUUCUUUGUAUCUUUUGUUCCUUGGCUUUCGUUUGUUUAUCUCCAGGCUGAAGCAAGUAGUUUGUUUUUACCCGGAUUAAACUCCGGUUUAAUCCGGUUUAUCUUUUGAACAUUUAUUUUUGUCCCUUUUUGCUCCUAAAGGCAAAUACUGCCUGGCCCUUGUGUUUUACGGGCAUUUUUUGAGUUCUGUAAUCUAAUAAACUCUGUUACUUUGAA